rnacentral:tRNA from 1 species
AGAGAGGUGUCCGAGUGGUUUAAGGAGCACGCUUGGAAAGCGUGUGUACGGGCGACCGUACCGAGGGUUCGAAUCCCUUCCUCUCUA